UAAUUUGAGAGUUUGAUCCUGGCUCAGGACGAACGCUGGCGGCGUGCCUAAUACAUGCAAGUCGAAACGAAACUCUGGUAUUGAUUGGUGCUUGCAUCAUGAUUUACAUUUGAGUGAGUGGCGAACUGGUGAGUAACACGUGGGAAACCUGCCCAGAAGCGGGGGAUAACACCUGGAAACAGAUGCUAAUACCGCAUAACAACCUGGACCGCAUGGUCCGAGUUUGAAAGAUGGUUUCGGCUAUCACUUUUGGAUGGUCCCGCGGCGUAUUAGCUAGAUGGUGGGGUAACGGCUCACCAUGGCAAUGAUACGUAGCCGACCUGAGAGGGUAAUCGGCCACAUUGGGACUGAGACACGGCCCAAACUCCUACGGGAGGCAGCAGUAGGGAAUCUUCCACAAUGGACGAAAGUCUGAUGGAGCAACGCCGCGUGAGUGAAGAAGGGUUUCGGCUCGUAAAACUCUGUUGUUAAAGAAGAACAUAUCUGAGAGUAACUGUUCAGGUAUUGACGGUAUUUAACCAGAAAGCCACGGCUAACUACGUGCCAGCAGCCGCGGUAAUACGUAGGUGGCAAGCGUUGUCCGGAUUUAUUGGGCGUAAAGCGAGCGCAGGCGGUUUUUUAAGUCUGAUGUGAAAGCCUUCGGCUCAACCGAAGAAGUGCAUCGGAAACUGGGAAACUUGAGUGCAGAAGAGGACAGUGGAACUCCAUGUGUAGCGGUGAAAUGCGUAGAUAUAUGGAAGAACACCAGUGGCGAAGGCGGCUGUCUGGUCUGUAACUGACGCUGAGGCUCGAAAGUAUGGGUAGCAAACAGGAUUAGAUACCCUGGUAGUCCAUACCGUAAACGAUGAAUGCUAAGUGUUGGAGGGUUUCCGCCCUUCAGUGCUGCAGCUAACGCAUUAAGCAUUCCGCCUGGGGAGUACGGCCGCAAGGCUGAAACUCAAAGGAAUUGACGGGGGCCCGCACAAGCGGUGGAGCAUGUGGUUUAAUUCGAAGCUACGCGAAGAACCUUACCAGGUCUUGACAUACUAUGCAAAUCUAAGAGAUUAGACGUUCCCUUCGGGGACAUGGAUACAGGUGGUGCAUGGUUGUCGUCAGCUCGUGUCGUGAGAUGUUGGGUUAAGUCCCGCAACGAGCGCAACCCUUAUUAUCAGUUGCCAGCAUUAAGUUGGGCACUCUGGUGAGACUGCCGGUGACAAACCGGAGGAAGGUGGGGAUGACGUCAAAUCAUCAUGCCCCUUAUGACCUGGGCUACACACGUGCUACAAUGGAUGGCACAACGAGUUGCGAACUCGCGAGAGUAAGCUAAUCUCUUAAAGCCAUUCUCAGUUCGGAUUGUAGGCUGCAACUCGCCUACAUGAAGUCGGAAUCGCUAGUAAUCGCGGAUCAGCAUGCCGCGGUGAAUACGUUCCCGGGCCUUGUACACACCGCCCGUCACACCAUGAGAGUUUGUAACACCCAAAGUCGGUGGGGUAACCUUUUAGGAACCAGCCGCCUAAGGUGGGACAGAUGAUUAGGGUGAAGUCGUAACAAGGUAGCCGUAGGAGAACCUGCGGCUGGAUCACCUCCUUU
rnacentral:rRNA from 1 species